UACGUAGGGUGCAAGCGUUAUCCGGAAUCACUGGGCGUAAAGCGUGCGUAGGUGGAUGUUUAAGUGAGAUGUUAAAUCGUGUGGCUCAACCAUAUCGAUGCAUCUCAUACUGGGCAUCUAGAGGACAGCAGAGGCAAGUGGAAUUGGUAGUGUAGCAGUGAAAUGCGUAGAUAUUACCAGGAACACCAAUGGCGAAGGCAGCUUGCUGGGCUACUCCUGACACUGAGAUACGAAAGCGUGGGGAGCGAACAGG
rnacentral:rRNA from 1 species